AUUGAACGCUGGCGGCAUGCUUUACACAUGCAAGUCGAACGGUAACAGGGUGCUUGCACCGCUGACGAGUGGCGAACGGGAGAGUAAUGCGUCGGAACGUGCCGAGUAGUGGGGGAUAACGCAGCGAAAGUUGUGCUAAUACCGCAUACGUACUGAGGUAGAAAGUGGGGGACCUUCGGGCCUCACGCUAUUCGAGCGGCCGACGUCUGAUUAGCUAGUAGGUGAGGUAAAGGCUCACCUAGGCGACGAUCAGUAGCGGGUCUGAGAGGAUGAGCCGCCACAAUGGGACUGAGACACGGGCCGGACACCUACGGGAGGCAGCAGUGGGGAAUUUUGGACAAUGGGCGAAAGCCUGCUCCAGCCAUGCCGCGUGUCUGAAGAAGGCCUUCGGGUUGUAAAGGACUUUUAUCAGGGAGGAAAUCCCUAGUGCUAAUAACACUGGGGGAUGACAGUACCUGAAGAAUAAGCACCGGCUAACUACGUGCCAGCAGCCGCCGUAA
rnacentral:rRNA from 1 species